AAAUUGAAGAGUUUGAUCAUGGCUCAGAUUGAACGCUGGCGGCAGGCCUAACACAUGCAAGUCGAACGGUAACAGGAAGCAGCUUGCUGCUUUGCUGACGAGUGGCGGACGGGUGAGUAAUGUCUGGGAAACUGCCUGAUGGAGGGGGAUAACUACUGGAAACGGUGGCUAAUACCGCAUAACGUCGCAAGACCAAAGAGGGGGACCUUCGGGCCUCUUGCCAUCAGAUGUGCCCAGAUGGGAUUAGCUUGUUGGUGAGGUAACGGCUCACCAAGGCGACGAUCCCUAGCUGGUCUGAGAGGAUGACCAGCCACACUGGAACUGAGACACGGUCCAGACUCCUACGGGAGGCAGCAGUGGGGAAUAUUGCACAAUGGGCGCAAGCCUGAUGCAGCCAUGCCGCGUGUAUGAAGAAGGCCUUCGGGUUGUAAAGUACUUUCAGCGGGGAGGAAGGUGUUGUGGUUAAUAACCGCAGCAAUUGACGUUACCCGCAGAAGAAGCACCGGCUAACUCCGUGCCAGCAGCCGCGGUAAUACGGAGGGUGCAAGCGUUAAUCGGAAUUACUGGGCGUAAAGCGCACGCAGGCGGUCUGUCAAGUCGGAUGUGAAAUCCCCGGGCUCAACCUGGGAACUGCAUUCGAAACUGGCAGGCUUGAGUCUUGUAGAGGGGGGUAGAAUUCCAGGUGUAGCGGUGAAAUGCGUAGAGAUCUGGAGGAAUACCGGUGGCGAAGGCGGCCCCCUGGACAAAGACUGACGCUCAGGUGCGAAAGCGUGGGGAGCAAACAGGAUUAGAUACCCUGGUAGUCCACGCCGUAAACGAUGUCUACUUGGAGGUUGUGCCCUUGAGGCGUGGCUUCCGGAGCUAACGCGUUAAGUAGACCGCCUGGGGAGUACGGCCGCAAGGUUAAAACUCAAAUGAAUUGACGGGGGCCCGCACAAGCGGUGGAGCAUGUGGUUUAAUUCGAUGCAACGCGAAGAACCUUACCUGGUCUUGACAUCCACAGAAGAAUCCAGAGAUGGAUUUGUGCCUUCGGGAACUGUGAGACAGGUGCUGCAUGGCUGUCGUCAGCUCGUGUUGUGAAAUGUUGGGUUAAGUCCCGCAACGAGCGCAACCCUUAUCCUUUGUUGCC
rnacentral:rRNA from 1 species